UACGGGGGGAGCAAGCGUUGUUCGGAUUUAUUGGGCGUAAAGGGCGCGCAGGCGGCUACGCACGUCCGUUGUGAAAUCGCUCGGCUCAACUGGGCGGGGUCAGCGGAUACGGCGUGGCUGGAGCAAGCUAGGGGGCAAUGGAAUUCCCGGUGUAGUGGUGGAAUGCGUAGAUAUCGGGAGGAACACCAGUGGCGAAGGCAGGUCACUGGGCCGCAACGUGACUGCCUGAGGAGCGAAAGCUGGGGAAGCGAACAGG
rnacentral:rRNA from 1 species